GCCUUUACUGACGCUAAAGCUCGAAGGUGCGGGUAUCGAACAGGAUUAGAUACCCUGGUAGUCCGCACGGUAAACGAUGGAUGCCCGCUGUUUGCGAUAUACUGUGAGCGGCCAAGAGAAAUCGUUAAGCAUCCCACCUGGGGAGUACGCCGGCAACGGUGAAACUCAAAGGAAUUGACGGGGGCCCGCACAAGCGGAGGAACAUGUGGUUUAAUUCGAUGAUACGCGAGGAACCUUACCCGGGCUUGAACUGCAGAGGAAGGAUCUGGAGACAGUGACGCCCUUCGGGGCCUCUGUGGAGGUGCUGCAUGGUUGUCGUCAGCUCGUGCCGUGAGGUGUCGGCUUAAGUGCCAUAACGAGCGCAACCCCUUUCAUUAGUUGCCAUCACUUCGGGUGGGCACUCUGGUGAUACUGCCACCGUAAGGUGUGAGGAAGGUGGGGAUGACGUCAAAUCAGCACGGCCCUUACGUCCGGGGCUACACACGUGUUACAAUGGGUGAUACAGAGGGCAGGUGCAUGGCAAUGUGCAUCAAAUCUUGAAAGUCAUCCCCACCUUCGAUUGGGGUCUGCAACCCGACCCCAUGAAGCUGGAUUCGCUAG
rnacentral:rRNA from 1 species